rnacentral:rRNA from 1 species
AUUGAACGCUGGCGGCAGGCCUAACACAUGCAAGUCGAGCGGCAGCGGAAAGUAGCUUGCUACUUUGCCGGCGAGCGGCGGACGGGUGAGUAAUGUCUGGGAAACUGCCUGAUGGAGGGGGAUAACUACUGGAAACGGUAGCUAAUACCGCAUAACGUCGCAAGACCAAAGAGGGGGACCUUCGGGCCUCUUGCCAUCAGAUGUGCCCAGAUGGGAUUAGCUAGUAGGUGGGGUAACGGCUCACCUAGGCGACGAUCCCUAGCUGGUCUGAGAGGAUGACCAGCACCACUGGAACUGAGGCACGGUCCAGACUCCUACGGGAGGCAGCAGUGGGGAAUAUUGAACAAUGGGCGCAAGCCUGAUGCAGCCAUGCCGCGUGUAUGAAGAAGGCCUUCGGGUUGUAAAGUACUUUCAGCGGGGAGGAAGGCGAUAAGGUUAAUAACCUUGCCGAUUGACGUUACCCGCAGAAGAAGCACCGGCUAACUCCGUGCCAGCAGCCGCGGUAA